GAUGAACGCUGGCGGCGUGCUUAAUACAUGCAAGUCGAGCGAACGGACGAGAAGCUUGCUUCUCUGAUGUUAGCGGCGGACGUGUGAGUAACACGUGGAUAACCUACUUAUAAGUCUGGGAUAACUUCGGGAAACCGGAGCUAAUACCGGAUAAUAUUUUGAACCGCAGGGUGCAAAAGAAAAAGACGGCCUUGCUGUCUGUAAUAGAUGGAUCCGCGCUGCAUUAGCUAGUUGGUAAGGUAACGGCUUACCAAGGCUACGAUGCAUAGCCGACCUGAGAGGGUGAUCGGCCACACUGGAACUGGGACACGGUCCAGACUCCUACGGGAGGCAGCAGUAGGGAAUCUUCCGCAAUGGGCGAAAGCCUGACGGAGCAACGCCGCGUGAGUGAUGAAGGUCUUCGGAUCGUAAAGCUCUGUUGUUAGGGAAGAACCGAUGUGUAAGUAACUGUGCACAUCUUGACGGUACCUGAUCAAAAAGCCCCGGCUAACUACGUG
rnacentral:rRNA from 1 species